UACGUAGGGUGCAAGCGUUAAUCGGAAUUACUGGGCGUAAAGCGUGCGCAGGCGGUUGUGCAAGACAGAUGUGAAAUCCCCGGGCUUAACCUGGGAACUGCAUUUGUGACUGCACGGCUGGAGUGCGGCAGAGGGGGGAUGGAAUUCCGCGUGUAGCAGUGAAAUGCGUAGAUAUGCGGAGGAACACCGAUGGCGAAGGCAAUCCCCUGGGCCUGCACUGACGCUCAUGCACGAAAGCGUGGGAGCAAACAGG
rnacentral:rRNA from 1 species